GACGAACGCUGGCGGCGUGCUUAACACAUGCAAGUCGAACGAUGACGCCCGAGCUUGCUCGGUCUGAUUAGUGGCGAACGGGUGAGUAACACGUGAGCAACCUGCCCUUCACUCUGGGAUAACCUCGGGAAAUCGGGGCUAAUACCGGAUAUGGACUCCUGUCCCAUUGCGGGUUUUGGAAAGUUUUUCGGUGAAGGAUGGGCUCGCGGCCUAUCAGGUUGUUGGUGAGGUAGUGGCUCACCAAGGCGAUGACGGGUAGCCGGCCUGAGAGGGGGACCGGCCACACUGGGACUGAGACACGGCCCAGACUCCUACGGGAGGCAGCAGUGGGGAAUAUUGCACAAUGGGCGAAAGCCUGAUGCAGCGACGCCGCGUGAGGGAUGACGGCCUUCGGGUUGUAAACCUCUUUCAGCAGGGAAGAAGCGAAAGUGACGGUACCUGCAGAAGAAGCGCCGGCUAACUACGUG
rnacentral:rRNA from 1 species